UACGUAGGGUCCGAGCGUUGUCCGGAAUUAUUGGGCGUAAAGGGCUCGUAGGCGGUUUGUCGCGUCGGGAGUGAAAACUCAGGGCUCAACCCUGAGCGUGCUUCCGAUACGGGCAGACUAGAGGUAUGCAGGGGAGAACGGAAUUCCUGGUGUAGCGGUGGAAUGCGCAGAUAUCAGGAGGAACACCGGUGGCGAAGGCGGUUCUCUGGGCAUUACCUGACGCUGAGGAGCGAAAGCGUGGGGAGCGAACUGG
rnacentral:rRNA from 1 species